CUGCAUGGCUGUCGUCAGCUCGUGUCGUGAGAUGUUGGGUUAAGUCCCGCAGCGAGCGCAACCCUUUUCCCUAUUUGCCAGCGGGUUAAGCCGGGAACUUUAAGGAUACUGCCAGUGACAAACUGGAGGAAGGCGGGGACGACGUCAAGUCAUCAUGGCCCUUACGACCAGGGCUACACACGUGCUACAAUGGUAGGUACAGAGGGUUGCUACACAGCGAUGUGAUGCUAAUCUCAAAAAGCCUAUCGUAGUCCGGAUUGGAGUCUGCAACUCGACUCCAUGAAGUCGGAAUCGCUGGUAAUCGCAGAUCAGAAUGCUGCGGUGAAUACGUU
rnacentral:rRNA from 1 species